rnacentral:rRNA from 1 species
ACACAUGCAAGUCGAACGAGAGAGAGGGAGCUUGCUUCCUCAAUCGAGUGGCGAACGGGUGAGUAACGCGUGAGGAACCUGCCUCAAAGAGGGGGACAACAGUUGGAAACGACUGCUAAUACCGCAUAAGCCCACGACCCGGCAUCGGGAAGAGGGAAAAGGAGCAAUCCGCUUUGAGAUGGCCUCGCGUCCGAUUAGCUAGUUGGUGAGGUAACGGCCCACCAAGGCGACGAUCGGUAGCCGGACUGAGAGGUUGAACGGCCACAUUGGGACUGAGACACGGCCCAGACUCCUACGGGAGGCAGCAGUGGGGAAUAUUGCACAAUGGGGGAAACCCUGAUGCAGCGACGCCGCGUGGAGGAAGAAGGUCUUCGGAUUGUAAACUCCUGUUGUUGAGGAAGAUAAUGACGGUACUCAACAAGGAAGUGACGGCUAACUACGUGCCAGCAGCCGCGGUAAAACGUAGGUCACAAGCGUUGUCCGGAAUUACUGGGUGUAAAGGGAGCGCAGGCGGGCGAUCAAGUUGGAAGUGAAAUCCAUGGGCUCAACCCAUGAACUGCUUUCAAAACUGGUCGUCUUGAGUAGUGCAGAGGUAGGCGGAAUUCCCGGUGUAGCGGUGGAAUGCGUAGAUAUCGGGAGGAACACCAGUGGCGAAGGCGGCCUACUGGGCACCAACUGACGCUGAGGCUCGAAAGUGUGGGUAGCAAACAGGAUUAGAUACCCUGGUAGUCCACACCGUAAACGAUGAUUACUAGGUGUUGGGAGAUUGACCCUCUCAGUGCCGCAGUUAACACAAUAAGUAAUCCACCUGGGGAGUACGACCGCA